CAGAACAACCUCUCUCUCUCCAGCAGAGAGUGUCACCUCCUGCUUUAGGACCAUCAAGCUCUGCUAACUGAAUCUCAUCCUAAUUGCAGGAUCACAUUGCAAAGCUUUCACUCUUUCCCACCUUGCUUGUGGGUAAAUCUCUUCUGCGGAAUCUCAGAAAGUAAAGUUCCAUCCUGAGAAUAUUUCACAAAGAAUUUCCUUAAGAGCUGGACUGGGUCUUGACCCCUGAAUUUAAGAAAUUCUUAAAGACAAUGUCAAAUAUGAUCCAAGAGAAAAUGUGAUUUGAGACUGGAGACAAUUGUGCAUGUAAGUAUUGGGAAAUUAAAUUUUCUCAUGGUAAAAUUUAAUAAAAACUAAAAUAUUAACUUAUUAAUUACUGAAUUAAAUAAACUGACUCAUUGUUUUCUGUCUAUAACAACACUACUUUUAUUAAAAUUAAUACAAUGAUUCAUGGUAUUUUGGUUAUAUUUUUCUCAAGAUCGUCUAAUAAUAAAAACCCAUACUAGCCUAUAGAAAACAAUAUUUGAAAGAUUGCUACCACUAAAAAGAAAACUACUACAACUUGACAAGACU
rnacentral:lncRNA from 1 species